rnacentral:rRNA from 1 species
GUAAAAGUCGUAACAAGGUUUCCGUAGGUGAACCUGCGGAAGGAUCAUUACCGAGAGUGGGACCUCGCGUCCCCCGGGGCUCCGGCCCCGACUCUUCACCCUGUGCGUACCCACCGUUGUUGCUUCGACGCUGUCCCCGUCGCCUGCCCCGGGGCUCGUACCCGGGUGCGGCGUGGGUGACCCCGCCGGAGGCCCCCCGAAACCCCGUCAUCAGUGUGGUCUGAGGAGAAAUCCAAUCAACUAAAACUUUCAACAACGGAUCUCUUGGUUCUGGCAUCGAUGAAGAACGCAGCGAAAUGCGAUAAGUAAUGUGAAUUGCAGAAUUCAGUGAAUCAUCGAAUCUUUGAACGCACAUUGCGCCCCUUGGCAUUCCGAGGGGCAUGCCUGUUCGAGCGUCAUUGCAACCCCUCAAGCGCUGCUUGGUGCUGGGCCUUCGUCCGCAGGGACGUGCCCGAAAGCCAGUGGCGGCCCGUCCGGGACCCCGAGCGUAGUAAGCUACAUUCGCCCAGGGAGCUCCCGCCGCGGCCGGCCAGACAACCCCCCCCCCCGGAUUUUUCAAUGGUUGACCUCGGAUCAGGUAGGGAUACCCGCUGAACUUAAGCAUAUCAAUAAGCGGAGGAAAAGAAACCAACAGGGAUUGCCUCAGUAACGGCGAGUGA